GCAACUGGCACCGGUUUUACGGACGAAAUUGCGCUCCACGCUUAGUCAGACCGCCAGUAUCGUUGUGGCCGUUGCCUAAGGUGGCAUUUGCGCGUCUGCUACACAAACGAAAAGUCACGUUGUUGUCGUAAUGGAAAAAGCGUAAACUUUUUUUUGUGCAACUCGUACGCGAACUCGCAUGUUAGAAAAUGGCAAUGGACUUUCAGAGUGCAAUGGAAACGUUCGCUGAGGCCUGGGUCGCUGCUAAUAUUAAGGGGGCUCCGAUUUCUGAGGUUGCUACUCAGGGUCAAGCUUUGACUAGGAGUAGCAAGACUCCACCCUCUUUGACAGCAACAGGAAGAACAAGCAGAGAUUCAGCUGAAAGAAAUUCAACCCCCCAACCAGUGUUAUCUUCAACCCCUUUGGACAAUACUAUAUCUCCGCAAUCAAUUAAAGAAGAGACAUCUUCUGGUAAAUCUAUACCAGUUCAUUGUAUAGUUGAAGCAAUAUCAGUCUUAGAAGACAACCGUUUGCAACAUGGAGCUUGGAGGCGAAGACCUAUGGUAGAAACCGAUACUUACGUUAUCAUUCCCACUGGAACUUCUUUCCACAAUUUAGUGCAGGCAGCACUUUUCCGAUUGGGUUACUCCUCUGAGAGUGCUGCUGCUGCCAAAGGAUCAGUGCUAAUUAAAAACUGGAAAGCUCUUAAUUUUGACCAAAUCUCAGACGACCCAUUGGUUACAGUGGGUGAUAUACUAGGAGAGCUAUCUACUGUGGCGACAUUGAGGAUCCAGGUAUUUAGAGGAAAACCUGGAUCAUUUAAUGAUAUUAAAGAUAAGCUCUUGAGAUACUUGUUAUUACAAUCCCAUGGAAUUUUGUUGUCGUCUGGCUGUCCUUUGGAUGAGAUGGUACUUACCCAAAUCUGCCGAAGUAACCUAUCAACAACAUCAAACUUUCCUGAGAUACCGGAAGAGACGCGCCGGAAAUUCGACCUUUGGUGGUCAGCCCAAUUUAACACCCAAAUUCCCUCCUCUCGCUCUCAAUUUAUCCCGACUUACCCAAGCCAGUACUCCGUUCCUCCACAAUCAACCCCUCCUAUGGAUCGUAAUAUUCCUGACGCUCAUCCUGCUAUGCAAACCGUACAUAGUCAAUUUCCUACUCAGAAAACGCGCAUGCGUACGAGUUUUGAUCCUGAGCUAGAGUUGCCAAAGCUGCAAAGAUGGUUUACUGAAAACCAGCAUCCCAGUCGUCAGCAAAUACAACAGUAUGUUAAAGAGCUUAAUAACUUAGAAUCCAGGCGAGGCAGAAAGCCUCUGGAUAUUAAUAAUGUUGUGUACUGGUUUAAAAAUGCCCGUGCAGCUCAAAAACGUGCUGAGGUCAGAAACAUCAACCCCAACAUGCACUUAUCUGUUAAUGGUUUUACCAGUCCAAGCCCCACUAAUGGCGGUUUGUUUAUGGGGGAUGCCUAUCUUUCUUCAGAGCGUCUCUCUGAUCCAAGGUUAAAGAAUAGCCUUUCAAGACGAGGUCCGCAAAACUCUCAUACUUCGGACGAAUUUUCCAAUGUUGGCUCCGAUAUGGAAGAUGACGAAUUGCCUGAAGAACAAUCUCCAUGUCCUUCUGUUCCUUUAUCGUUGACCACCAAUAGAAAAUCAGAUGACAGGACGGCAAGCCCAAAAACUAUCACCUCGCCAUCACCGGCACCAGAUAUUCAAAUUGAGAAAUGCAAAGAAGAACCCAUAGACGAACCCGUAAAUUAUUCCUCUGGAGACCAUAUAAACAAUAACAAAGUACUCUAUAAUGAUGAUCAUAGAGAAAACGAAGAUGACAGCAAAAGUCAAUAUGAUACUCCUUCGUCUCCAAGCAGAUCAAUUUCUCAUCGUUUAUCUCCUGAUAUUAAUGGUCAUUUAUUGCGAAGAAACCCUGAAGGACUUGACCAACUACCGGGAUUUCCGAUGGUACCCAACACAAUGUUUAGCCACAAUAUAAUGUACAUGAGUCAAUACAUUCCUAGCCUUGCACAUUCGGUACCUUCAAGUUGCCCAGGCGCACUUAAUAUGUCAAGUUUAACGGUUGAUGAACGAAGGAAAAGGAAUCGAACCUUUAUAGAUCCAGUUACGGAAGUACCAAGGCUUGAACAGUGGUUUUCUUUGAAUACCCACCCUUCUCACAACUUAAUUAUUAAAUACACCGAGGAGUUAAAUUGUAUGGCUUAUAGGCAGAAGUUUCCCCGUCUUGAACCAAAAAACGUACAGUUUUGGUUUAAAAAUCGACGAGCUAAGUGCAAAAGACUAAAGAUGUCAUUGUAUGAUAGUCAAUCUGGCCAGUAUCAUCAUGCGGAUCGGGAUUAAAUGUAGCAAUUGGUAAAAUUAGUCAUUGUUUUUGUAGAUACGUGCAUAGUUAUUUAGCUAAAACUAAAUAGGUUUUUUAAACGUUGAUCAAUAUGGUGCAGGACACUUUUUGUUUAAAUGAAAGAGAAUAAGCUUAGACCAAUAUGUAUUAAUAAAGUUAAUUUAUUUGUUGUAAUAUCUUAGAUAAAUUACUUAGAAACUGUGCUAAUUUUUUAUUGUUUGUCUCGAGUUUCGCCUGAUAAUAAUUUUAAAUUUCUCUAAAGGAAAUAUUUUAUGAUGGCUCUAUAUGAAAUACCAAGUAUUCACGAAUUUCUUUGGGAGACAUAUUCUUCACAACAAAAGUCGAAAAUAUGUAAGUUAUUAUAAUCCUUUUACAGCUAGACUGAAUAGAGGAAUUAUCAAGUAUCUUUUUAAUAUUAAUUGAUUAAUUGAUUGUUUGGUUCUAGCUUCUUCUACAGCGAGUUUGUUAUUUGAUAUGCCCUAAUGGUUCGGUUUUAGCAUUCUUUAGGUAUCAACCUGUGUAUAUUUUUGGUAACCUUAACUUUAAGUUUACAAUAUGAGACAUGGAAAAUUAGUUGUUAGGUUUUGCGUAGCAGCAUAUUGCUUCAGGUUUUGGUUUUAGCAAUGUUGAGUUGGUACUGCAUUAAAUCCACUAUUUAAAUAUAUAGGGUGUCCCGUAAGUAAUGGGAUAUAGAACAACAGUAGAUUCCUUACGUCAAAAUAAUGUGAUUGAGGUCAACUUGCCUUAUCCUAACUUUAAUAGUAACUGAAAUACAGGGUGUCAAAGUAUUAUUUGAUUUAUCGUUUUUUUUUCUCAUAGGUCCUGAACCAAAUGACAUACUGACAUGAAAUUUAGAACAUACGAGUCUUUUAAAAAGAAAAAUAACAUUUCGUAUACAGUUUUCGUGUUUUCGGUAGAGGGCGCUCGUUGCGUUAGUUUUUACUUUUUUAAAUCCCUUAACUUUUUUGCAGCUCCGUAUAUUGGUAUAUACCUUCGUAUAUAUUACAAUUUUUACAUUUAAUUUAUUUAGAUUAUUUAUAGGACUAUCAUAAACAAUUGAUUUCAAAUAUCCCCAAAUACAGAAGUCCGUGUGGUUUAAGUCUGGACUACGCGCAGGCCAGAGCAAAAGUCCUCUACGGCCAAUCCAAUUUUCGGGAUAUUGUUCGUCAAGGUAAUUGCGUACCUGUCAGGAAAAAUGCGCUGGCGCCCCAUCUUGCAUAAAAUACAUUUAAUGGUAUAUCUUCUAAAAGACCGCCAAGUCCAUUUCGUAGGAAAUUUAAGUACGAGUCUCCGUUCAAAUUAGGUGGUAGUUCAUGGAGGGCCUAUCAUGUGGUUUCCAAUAAUACCACACGACAUGUUAACUUUAAAUUCAUGCUGGAAAUGACGACUGACAACUGAAUGGGGGAUUUCAGUAUCCCACAUAUGAGCAUUUCUAAAGUUAAAUACGCGUCUAGUAAAUGUAGCCUGGUCUGUGAAUAACACUCUACUAAUAAGCAUUGGAUCUGCGUUUUGCAUAUUUUUAAACUGACGAUAAAACUGCAUUCUGGCUGGCAAAUUUGGUGCGAUCAAACACUGAAUUGGUGUAAAGUAGUAUGGACAAACGCCCUCUUUCUGAAUUACUUUACCAACACAUGAUUUGCUUACACCCAGAGCUGCCGCUAUUCGCCUAGUACUUAACCCUUAAAAUUUCUUCUUCCUGUUCUUGGGAAAUAUUUUUUGGGCUGCUCAAAACAGGCAUUUUUGGCAUCGCAACCGAAGUUACUAGAUCUGGUGAUUUUGACUGUUCUAGUGACUAGUGAAAAACCUCUUAAAAACUUCAAAUGGUGCUUUUCCACCAUGUGUAACCGUAUUUACUAAAGUCACAGUUAAUUUCUAAGCGUAUAGAAAAGAAAAAUGAUAAAAAUGAUUUCUAGUUUAUACCAAACUGAGAUUUGCUCAUUUCUAAUUACGUAUUUUAUAUUUUUAAUACAUCAAUAACCGGGAACAUCGUCUAGGAAGACGAUGGAAGGAAGACACAUUUUGGGAAUUCCUCAGAAUGAGGAAACUCCCAGAAAAAAAGAAAGUUGAUGUUACGUCUCGCUUCCUCGCAUUAUUUUAGCAGUUAAAAAAAAAAUAGCCUUGAACCGAAAAUUUGAUAAUUUUGCAAUUACAUUUAAUUUAAUAAUUCAAGAUUCGCUUAUUAAAAUUUUUUGAAACUUUGCACAAGGGUUUGCCAAAUUGGUCUCUUCAAAAAGUUAUCUUAUAUUUUUUCUAUAAAAUGUACAGGGAAGCCAAUAAUUAAAAUUUACAUGGGAUUUCCUAUGUUCCGCUCGGCGACGCACCACCCGGUAUGUAUAAAUAAUUAGAAAUAGAUCUAUCUAUUAAAUAUUGUUGGACAAAUAUUAGAGAAUUAUCAAAAAGUCCAUAGCAAUGAGGCUUGACUAACAGCAUAUUAUGACUAAUGGUAUCGAAUGCUUUGCUGACGUAAAGUAAUGCAAAAUAGGUUAUCAGUUUUGUUUCUUCAUUGUCACGAAUAGUCAUCGACAAUUUUCUUCAAUAAAUUUGCGAGGUGUGUGGCUUUGAGGGAGCGCAUUUUAGGACAAAAGUUUAUAGGAAAAAAAGUCUUAGUUUAGCCUCGAAAGUACGCUCUUAAAAUAUUUGCACCAAAUUUUAUAACACCCUGUAUGUAUAACUAACAGAUAACGCAAUAUACUCGUCAUAGUGCAUCGGAUUAAAAAUUUACAGGGUGCUUCAAUUAUAUUAAAGAAAAUAAAUAUAUAUGUAUUAAACAAAACGUUAAUUUUAGUUCUGUACCUAGGAAAAAUAACCCAUUUUAUUGCUUAUUCUGGGGACAACAACCCAAUUUAUUUUAAUAAUGAAAAAUAAAUCUUAGACUACCGAGACAAAAAAUUAAUAAAAAUAAAUUUUAAAUAAUAAAAAACUGUAGCCAAAUUUGUAGCGGGAUUCUUUACGUACUAGCCGUAUGUGCACCCUCUAACCUUUGACGUCGCAGGGUAUCUGUCAACCCCUUUUCACUAUUUCUUUGUACUGUUAUAAAAGAAAAGUUGACAAAAUGCCUCGGGCGCCACUCUAAGUAAUUAAAGGAGCUUAGAGUUCCCUCUAGCCUCUCGGGUAAGCCUUUAAACAGUGGAGAAACCAGGUAGAGAUUGAAAGUAGACGAAGGUUAUAGUGAGAUCUUAUUGCUCUUAAUCUUUAUUAUUACAAAUACUAGUAAGUAAGUAACAGGUUUGGUUGCUUAAAACUAAAUGAACGAAAGUGUCCUUAAAAUCUAACAAUCCCCCAUUACCAAUUUCUAUGAUUAAGCACAGACAGUUAUUUGGGAAAAUGUACCGGAAAAUUCGACACUCUAUUAAUGACGCAAGAUAGUAUGAUUUAAGGGACGGGGUUAUGAUGUUUUGUAAUACAAGCGGUUACGGAUGACAUUCGUGAAGCAAAGCCGGAAACUCAACACCAAUCAAGCGAAGCAAUCUCAACCAAUCGGUCAACAUUUACCUCUGCUCUCUUGAUAUACGGAUAGAUAUCACGGACUCGGUUCUCUCACUACUUUGAGAAGCCAAGUAAUACUUAAUAACGCGGCUACUGCCUGCCCUACAAAACACGAAGAAAGAUAGUGUCCAAGCAGUAGUUUUCAUCAAUAAAAUAAUUAAACAGAACGGCCACGGACAGAGCAGAAAACAAAAAGUCCACAAUAAAAAUUAUCAUUUAUUAUAGCAAAAAAGGCGAAGAAUAACAAAUUUAAAGAAAUAUAGCAAAUCGUUCGCAAUCGGCAGAUCGUUCUGCAAAAAAUCAUGAAUCCUAUAAUUGUCUCUAUUCGGCAACUGCUCUCAUCGGUCCUUCCCGUUGUAUUCCGGUAGCAAAUUGUUAGAAUAAAUGUAGGUUGAAACUACAUUUACCCUUGUUAUUGCUAUGUUUACCCUCCGAAUGGACU
rnacentral:misc_RNA from 1 species